GAACACAGCAGCCAUCAGACAGCAUAGGGUGCAGAUGGAGAGAAUAGCAGGAAAGCAGCUUCAAGCAAUCAGCAAGUGGACAAGGCAGCAGGAGACAGAACUACUUACUGAACUAACAGGAGUGAAUGGCACCUGCUGGAAUUUGGUAUACUUUCCCCUCCGCCUGGAAUCUGCUGCAAGGUCUUAUAUCAACCUCAACCCUGCUAUUCUUUGAGAAACUAAAGGUCCGUCAGGUUCAGGAUUCUCUGUCUGUGAACGGGCAUCACUUCAACAAAAGGUACAAAUCAUGAAGGUAAGAGUUGUUUGUCCAGCACUUGUUGGUUUUGUUUGCCAUGUAAUCAUUUCCAGCAGCAGCUUUUCUAUAAGCAUCACCCAAAAGAAACUAGCACUAUAACAUCUGGGGUCUGCACUUUCCUCUUUGACACAGUUUCUAUGUGCACAACUGUGAGGCAUAGGCUGUUGCAAUUCAGCAAAUGUUGCACCUGGUGAGACAAUCUAUUGUAGUAGGAGCUUCC